AAUUUGACAAAGAAACUUCAUGCGGCUGGGAUUGUAAAGGGUCAUUCCAUCCUACUUGUGUGGCUGAGGGACAUCGCCAACCAAUUUUGGUAUAUUUGUCAGAAAGCCGAACAUCGUGAGAUGUUUAAUGAUAUGUGGGUGGAGGUGCUUCAUCAUGUCACAGGGAAGCAUGAAUGGACCCGUGGCAAGUGUGACUAUGGAC